CAUUUGGCUUUCAGCAUCGUUGUUCGAUUUUUAGGGCCACACCGGAGUAAACUUGUUCCACAGACUUUAAUGUGUGCUCAGAGUUUGAGAGAAUGUCAAGCCGUGAACACCCGUCAACCAAAGGUACUCGAUUGACCUAGAAAGGAACUGAGCCAGGUGAGUGCGUCAUUCUGGGGAAUCAACGAGGGUGGAUGCGAGUGAUUAGGAUGAGGUUGGAGACUUGGAGUCGAUGGCAAUGUUAGCUAAUAAUAACAAUAAAAAGGGUUUUAUGCAUCAAGUGGAAGGACAUAAAUGCCCAUUAACGGUUAAAUUUACCGUUGAAAUUUGAAAGAAGGGUGG